CCUAAUUUUGACAAUCAACGUCGUUUCGUUGUCGUUGAAAUCAUCGAAUGUUGUGUCACUGUCAAUUUUGUUGUGAGAAGGUUACGUUGAUAAAAAUUUUACGUGUUUUUGAGGCUUAAAUGUGGAGAUUAUGUGGUCGGCGAAUUUAUUUCCUUGUUUGGCAUCAUUUAGAUUGUUUAGAUGCUUUAAGUUAUGAGAUUAGGAAGCAUCCCAACACGAUACCGCCUCAAAGUCAAUAAACCUGCAUUUUAGUAGAUACCUACUUAUGUGACAAAUUGCCGGAAAGAUAGUCUUAUGGCAACAAAAAGAGUGUCCUUGGAACACAAGGUUAUAUUAUGUGCUAUGCAUUAAGAUGCAUCCAGUUCAUACCAAGGCACUGAUGGUAUGAAGAAGCAUUUGGAAUUACUUAACCAAUGCUCUCAAU